rnacentral:SRP_RNA from 1 species
GUCGAGCUAUAUAACGAGAGCUUGUAACCCAAGUGGGGACUUUAAGAUGGUGGAACACUGGUUCGGCCCACGGGUCGGAUAUGUUGUUGGCAUAUUUCUGGAUUGCCCAGUCCAAGCUGUGAGUGAACCGUACGAAUUAAGCGUAGGUUUGGUUCGAACAGUUUCUAAAGGUUGAGGGUAAUGCGUGAGGCUGGCUUCACAGAGCAGCGACUACCUCCCGCUCUCAGCAGUGGACGGACCACAGUCCAUAGCCACUUAGAUCCACUAUGGUCUGCUGGCUCGUACUCAGCUUGAACCACCAUUUUU